AUGUAGCUGACGAGUCCCAAAUAGGACGAAGCGCGCGUCCUGGAU
rnacentral:hammerhead_ribozyme from 1 species